CGAGCGAACAGACGAGGAGCUUGCUCCUCUGACGUUAGCGGCGGACGGGUGAGUAACACGUGGAUAACCUACCUAUAAGACUGGGAUAACUUCGGGAAACCGGAGCUAAUACCGGAUAAUAUAUUGAACCGCAUGGUUCAAUAGUGAAAGACGGUUUUGCUGUCACUUAUAGAUGGAUCCGCGCCGCAUUAGCUAGUUGGUAAGGUAACGGCUUACCAAGGCAACGAUGCGUAGCCGACCUGAGAGGGUGAUCGGCCACACUGGAACUGAGACACGGUCCAGACUCCUACGGGAGGCAGCAGUAGGGAAUCUUCCGCAAUGGGCGAAAGCCUGACGGAGCAACGCCGCGUGAGUGAUGAAGGUCUUCGGAUCGUAAAACUCUGUUAUUAGGGAAGAACAAAUGUGUAAGUAACUAUGCACGUCUUGACGGUACCUAAUCAGAAAGCCACGGCUAACUACGUGCCAGCAGCCGCGGUAAUACGUA
rnacentral:rRNA from 1 species